CUUCUCCAAGUAAAAUCAACUGUCACAGAAAAAAAAGAUAUUCACACAAAUUCUCAAUUCACUUACAUUUCCAAUUUUCUUGCAACAAACAUUUUCAAAAGUGUUAUCAACGAAGAUGAUGAGUCGCGGAUCAACAACUGUUGUCCGAUCCGUUCGGCUAUUCUCAACCGGUUCCGUGAUCCGCCCGGUUCGAACCGGUGGAUCUGAAAAGGCGGUGGUGACGUCGUGGAUUAGAUCGUAUUCGGUGGCUGGUGGUCGCAAUGCGAGUACAAUGACGUUGGGGGAGAAAGAAGUGAAAGAACAGCCGGAUAUUAAGGAUACGGUGGCCGGCGGUGGUGCAGCCGCCGGAGGUGAGAAAGAGAAAGAGGUGGUGAGUUAUUGGGGAGUGCAACCGUCGAAAGUUACGAAAGAAGAUGGUACUGAGUGGAAGUGGAAUUGUUUUAGGCCAUGGGAGACGUAUCAAGCGGAUCUGUCGAUUGAUUUGAAGAAGCAUCAUGUUCCGAAGACGUUUUUGGAUAAGUUUGCGUACUGGACUGUUAAGUCGCUCCGAUUGCCUACUGAUAUUUUCUUUCAGAGGAGAUACGGGUGUCGAGCAAUGAUGCUUGAAACCGUGGCUGCGGUUCCUGGAAUGGUUGGAGGAAUGCUUCUUCACUGUAAAUCCCUUAGGCGGUUCGAGCACAGUGGUGGAUGGAUCAAAGCGCUGUUAGAAGAAGCUGAGAAUGAGAGAAUGCACUUAAUGACUUUCAUGGAGGUUGCUAAGCCGAAAUGGUAUGAGCGCGCUCUUGUGUUCACUGUUCAGGGCAUAUUCUUCAAUGCCUACUUUCUUGCGUACCUUGCUUCGCCUAAGUUGGCUCACCGGAUCACUGGGUACCUUGAGGAAGAAGCAAUCCACUCGUACACUGAGUUCUUGAAGGAGCUUGACAAAGGCAACAUAGAAAAUGUUAAGGCGCCAGCCAUUGCUAUUGACUAUUGGCGUCUUCCAGCUGAUUCGACGCUUCGUGAUGUUGUUAUGGUUGUGAGAGCAGAUGAGGCCCAUCAUCGUGAUGUUAAUCACUUUGCUUCGGACAUACAUUACCAAGGACUCGAGCUUAAGGAUUCUCCGGCUCCAAUCGGAUAUCACUGAAGAAGAAAAUCAGUCUUUUAUGCGUAAUAAAGUUGGUUCUAUGAUUACCUUGUAAAGAUUUUAUGUUGGUUUUGGGGUGUUGUACCUGCCUCUAUUUCCAUGAGAUUUGUCUUUCAAGACUGGUUUCGGUUUUGAAUGAGAUCAAAUGGAAGUUUCUAAUUGAGGGUAUAACUUGUGUCUACUGUUGGUUUAAACAACUGAUUGAUGGUAAGUUGUAAGAAAUGGACGACGGAAUUACAAUUGUUGCAACAUUUUCUGUUUGAAAGUGAAGGAUUGGUUUUGCAA